GGCUCAGUAGCUCAGUGGUUAGAGCAAGGGACUCAUAAGCCCGAGGUCGCAGGUUCAAAUCCCGCCUGAGCCA
rnacentral:tRNA from 30 species